rnacentral:misc_RNA from 1 species
GAUGAAGAACGUAGCGAAAUGCGAUACUUGGUGUGAAUUGCAGAAUCCCGUGAACCAUCGAGUCUUUGAACGCAAGUUGCGCCCGAAGCCACUAGGCCGAGGGCACGCCUGCCUGGGCGUCACACGCCGUUGCCCCCCCAUCUACUCCUUCGGGAUUGCGGGGGGGCGGAUGAUGGCCUCCUGUGCGCCUAGCCGCGCGGUUGGCAUAAAUACCAAGUCCUCGGCGACGCACGCCACGACAAUCGGUGGUUGCGAAACCUCGGUUGCCCGUCGUGUGCGUUCGUCGCGAAUCGAGGGCUCGAAAAAAUGCUCGGCUCCGGCUGGGCUUUCAACGCGACCCCAGGUCAGGCGGGGUUACCCGCUGAAUUUAAGCAUAUCAAUAAGCGGAGGA